rnacentral:rRNA from 1 species
CGGUCCAGACUCCUACGGGAGGCAGCAGUGGGGAAUAUUGCACAAUGGGCGAAAGCCUGAUGCAGCGACGCCGCGUGGGGGAUGACGGCCUUCGGGUUGUAAACCCCUUUCAGUAGGGAAGAAGCGAGAGUGACGGUACCUGCAGAAGAAGCGCCGGCUAACUACGUGCCAGCAGCCGCGGUAA